GCAUGGGUUGGGGUAGCACAGGCCUUUACUGCCAGUGCUGUAGAGCCAGGGAAGGCAACCCUCAACCUUCCAUCUUCAGUGUGAGUGCCAGGCCAUCCAAGCCCACACGUGAAAUCUCCGAACAACGAAACAAAACAAAAGCAACAACAACAAAAAGCAAGGCAUGGUGGUGCAAACUUACAAGCCCGGUGCCGGGGAGGGGAAGACAGAUGAGUCCCGGGGGCUCACUGGCCAGGCAGCUGCUAUAACCAUUGAAUUCCAGGCCCCAGGGAGAGACUCUGUCUCAUAAAGCAAAGUAGAGAGUUACUGAAGGGUAAAACCUUGGGUUGACCUAUGACCUCUGUGUGUGUUGUACACACACACACACACACACACACACACACACAGACACACUCCUAGACAAACAGACACAUACACACACGCAGAUACACGUGCAUGAGUGCAUGCACAGGCAAACACAUACACCCCACACACACAUGCUACAUAUACAGACAGACCCAUACAUAAACUGGCAUACAUCACAUAGAUGCACACACACACACAUAUCACAUCACAUAUUACUUAUACAAACAGAUCCAUACAUAAACUGGCAUAUAUCCCAUAGACGCACACACACACACACCCUAUACCUACUCUGAUGUGUUCCAGCACAAUACUGAAAUAGCAUAGAGGGAGUCCCAAGCAAUCUCAGCAGAGAGCCACAUCAACAGACACCUCUAGUCCAGGGGACUCUGGGGGCUGAUGUGAAGUGGGACCAUAUAGUGAGAAAACACUGAGACACUCCUAAAUGUCUUCUAGAGGCACCUUGGUUCCAACCAUGGCCCCCUGCUCCCAACACACACACACACACACACACACACACACACGGCUGGCAGGAGGCUCAUGCUCCACCCUGUGUUUUGCAUUCUGAGAAGCCACAAUAAAAAACCCUAAUAAUUCUUUGAAAACAUCAUUUAAAUAGCAACAAGUCAGCCCCCCCCCCCCCCCCCCCGCUCCCCUCGGCCCUCAUUAGACUCGCCUAUUGCUUCCAUCUGUUUUCUCAGGGCAGACUCUCUGGCAACGGAGCUACUAUCCAGCCUUUUGUCAGACCGAUCAAUCUUCUGCUCCCCACUUGAAUUGAUAAUUAAAUUUUGAUGGUAUGGGCCCACACGCUGCUGCUACCACGACUGUUUUCUUGGUGUAACUCAGAUAUAGGUGAGCAUUGAGGCAGGAGAAUUCUGGGUCAGCCUUAGCUAUACAGUGAAUCUGAGCCUAGCCUGGGCUACAUGAGAUCCUGUCUCAAAAAGCAAAUGAAAAGGCCCUGCCCAGGGAUGAAUGCUUGAGAGAUAAACAAGACCAAAUGCCUCAGAUGCUAUAGGGAAGGAGCCUGGCUGGGAACAUGGCCCAGUGUGCUGUCACCAGGCAGCUUGGUGGGUCUGGUCCAAGCAGGGAGAAGGCUGCUCAAUGCCUCUGAUAGGCAGAUACCCAUAGACUGGCCUUCAAAGUGGCCCCUGGGUCGUUGCCCCGAGGAUUCUCAACUGGCUGCCCUCUGCUCCCAUGGUUAUAUUUACCAUGUCAAUGGACCUGACCAGGGCAGGAGUGGAGCCCCCAGAGGGUAGGUUCUCCUCUCUCAGGUUCAUUUAUGGGUGUUGCCAGUGGCCCCCAGGGACCUGACAGGCAUUACCUGUAUGUGAGCAUGGCACCGCUCUUGGCCAUAUACUUUCUUUUUUGUUUUUUUAAAGUUGUUUUUUUUUAAAAAAAAAGAUUUAAUUAUUUAUUAUAGGAUUGCACUGUAGCUAUCUUCAGACACUCCAGAAGAGGGACUCAGAUCUCAUUUGGAUGGUUGUGAGCCACCAUGUGGUUGCUGGGAAUUGAAACUCAGGACCUUCGGAAGAGCAGUCAGUGCUCUUAGCCACUAAGCCAUCUCUCCAGGGGCCAUAUACUUUCCCAGAUACUUGGGAUAUUGGUCUCCAUAUUUCCAGAGCUAGUGUGCAGGAAGCAGAAGAGGCUCUGUGGGGCCAAAGAGGUGGUUCAGUGGUUAGAGGUGCUUGUGUGCAGAGCUGGCAGGCUGAUCCUGAGGUCCUACAAGCUGGCAGGAAAGAACUGACUCCUGGGAGUUUGUGAAAACCCCUACAAGUGCUCACACACAAAAUAAGUAAACAGGUCGAUAAAUGACCCUUGGUUUAACAACAAACAAACCAAUUUAAAAAAACAAAACCUUCUAGGUCUAGGAGAGGCCUGGGGAGAUGGUUCAGUGGGUAAGGGCACUUGUUGCACAAGAAUGAGGACCCAAGUUCAUGUCCCCAGCUCAAGUAUAAAAUAACUGGGAGUGGCCAAGUGUGCCCAUAUCUGCAGCUCUGGGGAGGUGGAGACAGGUGGGUACAUACACUCACACACAUACACACACACUCACAUACAUGCACACACAUGAGCACACACACACUCACACACAUGCACACACACAUGAGCACACACAUGCACAUGCACACUCACACAUGCAUACACACACACUCUCUCUCACACACACACACACACACACACACACGCAGAGAGAGUGGAGUAGGCUUAGACUUUUCAAAACCUACUUUAAUAGGACAAGGGGGAUGUGGACCUGUUUAGAAGUAGUUCUUUGGGCUGAUGCCAAUCUUUAUUGUCAGGGUAUCAGCAGACCAGUGAAAAACAUCAAACAGGAAGUAAUAGCGGCAAUCCAGUCCAGUCAGCAAACACAAAACACAAAUCAGUAACAGUGGCUAGACCCAGAGGAAACUCAAGAGGCUCUGCUGAAUCAGCAGGAGUCCGUGGAAGCAGCCAGGACACCACUGGUACUUCGUGAAGCAUUUCUCUUAAGGAAGUCAGACCAGCAAAGCAUUGCAAGGCGAACCAAUGCAAGGGAUCUCAUUGUCUGUGGGGUUGUAUUUAUUUUCCUUCUAAACAUCACACAUCCUCUCAAGUGUCUGUUUCAGCAACACAUCCUCUCAUGAGACAGUUUCCAGGAAAGCAUCACAUAACACAACUGAAUCUACAAAGAAACCAGAAAUUUCUAUUUCAGAGAGGUCUCCAGGAGAAUUCCCCUUUUGGGGGAAGCGCUUAUAGGGGAAUUGUUUUGGUAUAACAGUGCAAGCCAUGGGAAGAGACACCUGGUAGAGCAUGUGCAAAGGCCCUGUGGUGGCAAAGAGUCAGGCCUGUUAGAGGACCUGGAUGCAUAAGUGAUGCCUAUAGAAGAGCCAUCAGAACAAGGUGACACAAAGUGUCAGGGGUCACAGCAGAGAAAUUGUGGACAUCUUCCCUGAGUGUUAGAUUUGGAGACAUAAAACACCCCACCCUGCAUGUCCAUUCUUCUUU
rnacentral:lncRNA from 1 species